CAGAGAUAGGGACACCGAGUCUCUGUUGUUGUCAGAAGCAGAUCGCAUGCACGGCUUCUGUUGAGUAGGAGCAGGGCACUGCUCCUUUGCCUCCCUGAUCAGAUCUCUCUACUGUCUCCAGAGUCGCUGCUACUGUCUUUAAAUUAUUUGUAAGACUACUUCGGAAAAAGAACCAACUGCAUCACUGCAAGAUCCGUUUCAAGAUUCUGCUACAUCUGGCAUGGCAGACCUGGUUUCAAGCCAAUCUGAGUCAACAAAGUCUGUUGCUAGCAGACAGAA